AACCCAGAUGUCCCUGCAUCCCAGCUGAGACCAUCCUCCAGGAAAAACACUGGCCCAAUACAGCCGCACAAAAAGUCAUCAGCAAGACCAGCGGAAGAACCGCCCAGACAAUCCUAGCCAAGAAUGUGGAACGGAUGGCUAUUCAUCCCAAUUUGCCUGGGAAUGAAGGCGUUUCCAGGACACAGGACUUACAGUGCUAAAACAGGAAAGUCCUGGGGAACCUGCAAGAGUUGGUCACCUUCUUUCCAACAUCUCAACUAAACAGGAGUUUACUUCAGAUCAAAAUGCAAUCUUAUUCACACAGUUUGGGAGCUUACGGAAGGGGAAGCUAGAGAAGAGAUCUGGUCAUCUGUUAAUUCCUUAUUCUUCAUUUCUACUUCUUUGAUCUAUGGAAAGAACCAACACGUUAGGCAAGGUAUUGUGUGAUCAAAAGAUUUGAAAGGUGUGCUUGGUCCAGAGGUGAGUAGAACAUGGGGGAUGCCUGGUUUAACGUUAGUGUCAAGACAAAAGGGGCCUCCUGCAGGGAACUCUUUCCUGCAAAGAGCUCUUUCCUCCCAAAAGCUGCUUACAAAAUGUUAAAUUAUAUUUAAUGAUUAUUCAGGUAAAGUUCAGAAAAAGCAUCACAACUCCAACCCCAGGUAUUCAUCUGAACAGGGCAGAAUUCCUGAAUUAAUUGUAAUUUCCAAUUCACCUUCCUUCCUUCUAAAUUGCACUUCAAAUUGCUUGAUAAAUCAGAAGUAUAAUUAUGACAGGUUUUCAUAAUUUGGAAUAGGCCCAGAAUUACUACUGUAUUAUCACAAAACUCAUUUUCCAGAUGUUUUAAUGGUACAGAAGCUUAUCCUUGCCUAUAUUUAUAUCUUGUAAGUCCAAUUUAGACCCUUAGGAAGGUAGAUUUCUAGAUCCAUUGUUUAAUGUGUCUAGCUCUUUGCUGACACUCACAAGAGUUAAAAUUUAUGCUGUAUAUUCUAAUUAGCUACAUCUUCUUUAUGUCAUUGUACAGAUAAUUAAGGAGCCAUUCCAUUUAUACAUUUGGUUGAACCUAACUGGACUUUUGGUCCCAACCAAAUUAUGACUAGUACUUACACUUACCUCUUUGUUUAAAGACUCAGACAAAAUUUUAUUUUGUCUCACAAAUGUUAAAAUAGCAGUGAAAGGAGAAUGUGCUGUAAAAUAUAUUUUUUGGACUGAUUAUCUUAUGCAUUUCAGGUGAAAACUUUCUUCAAAUUAUGCCAACUAUUUACAUUUUAGUCCCACAUAUAUUUUUAUUCAAUUUCGCCUACAUAACUACCCUUUUCUUUUCCCAAUUUAACCAAGUCUAAAAAUACAAACUUCUAACUCUAUUAAUAAUGUAUCACUAAUGUAUCCCAAAAUACUGCAUAGGAGGCAAGAGCUUUGUUUUAAUACAUGAGCCAUUGGCCACUAAGGAAAACAAUAAUAAUGUAUUCAGUUGCCUAAUAACUUUAAAGUACUUCAACACCGUGUUUGAUGUGUUUGUGCAGAACAAUGCAAAACAACUUCUAUGCCUCGAAACAAAAUGCUUGAACAUCACUUAAUAGCUUACAAGCCAACUGAGAGGUCAGGGAGCAAAACAAAAUAGAAAUUCUAAUUAACCACAACUCUUUCUGAAGAAAGGGGCAAGUCCCUGCAAACAUUUUAAGCUAUUUUCUAUCCACAAAUAAGCUAUAAAAAUUCCAUGUACAGUGUGGGAAACAGCACAUUUGUCUGGGCUACUGAGAGCACCCUCUUACUUGCUUAUAUAUCUAGACUAUUUUAUUGGGAAGUUUUCCAGCUUGGACAAACCCCAGCUUUGUAACAGUGAUCUACUUGAAAACCUUUUAACAAAUGCUUAAUUUUAGCAUAUGUUGGCCCGAGAUUUUUUUUGGUUCAAGGAACUUAUUUUUUUGAUUAAAUAUGUCCAUAUUUAUAUUUUACAUAAAUGUAGCUAUUCACAUGUGCCUACCUUUGGCUGCAUGGCUGCUCCCCCACCUUCACCCCAUCUUUUGCCACCCCUACACACCUCUCUCCAAACUGCUCCUGGAACUGUGGCUGCCGCUGACAUAGUAGAGGUAUAUUACCUUGGACCAUAAGAUUCCCCACGACAGUAUUCCUCCACUCUAAGCCUGCACUUCAACCAAAGCCCCUGGCUAAUGAAGCCAACCCAGGUUCCUGGUACGAUUUUAUGUACAAGAAGUCUGGACUAAGCACUGUGUCCUCCCAAACAUCUGCCUACUUCCCUGCAGUAUAGCCUUUUUCCUCUCCAGAGACCACACAACCUUCUACCUGUUCUUGUUACCUACUCCAGGUUCAUACUUCUCACUGUAUGACAGGCCAAUAAAUCAAGACACGAGUCAUUGGGCAAGGAAUAGAGACUUUAUUUGGAAAGCCAGCAAACUGAGGUGUCGGACUAGUGUCCCAAAGAACCAUCUUGCACAGGUUUGGAUGCUAGUUUCUUUUAUAGAAC